UUUGCUCAACAAACAUGGCACCCAAAUGUAGUUUUAUAAGUCUCCAAUGAGAAGUGAGAGUCGAAAGAAUGUCCGGUAGUGAACUAUUGUUAACAGUUUUUAUAUCGUUAUUCGGUCAGAAACGUCAAGAAUGUGAGGCGAACAAAUCGUUUUGGAUUAUAUUCCAUUUCCUUGGACUCUUGGGGAUUUAUGAAAACAAUUUGUUUUGGACAAUUUCACCAAGGUGGAUAAAGGGAAGCAUUUUGUGAUCAUAUGUGAUGCUCACAAAUGUGGAGGUCAAGUGGCCCGGCUCUGUUCAUGACUCAAGAAUGUAUCAGGAGUCAACAGACUGAGUAACAGACUGGAAAGGGGAGAGAUUGAUGGCUUUCUGCUGGGAGAUAGUUACCCAUGCCGACCAAAGCUUAUUACACCUUACCCAAAACCUGAACCAGGCCCCCAGCAGCGCUUCUAUGUGGCACACUGCAGGACGAGAGCCCAUGACCAUAGGCCUGUUGAAAGCACGUUUUCAGUUCCUACUUCACCUCAUGUAACCAAAGAAAGGGCCUGCAACAUUAUUGUGGCAUGUGUUGUUCUCCAUAAUAUUGUCAUAAUUAGAGGGGCGCAACACCCUACCCUACAAUUACAAGAUCCUGAGGAAGACUCCAUCAACCCUGCACAUUUCCAGGAUGGAAGGGUAGUCCGGGAUAUGAUAUGCCACAGUGCCAUCUCAGAUUAAUCAUAAUAUCUACCACCACUACCACCACCACCACAAAAAAAAAGGAAAAUGAAUAAACACAAAUUCACAGCAAUUUAUAUGGUGUUCUUUAU